UCCUUUUAUUAUAUUUAAUUAAUAUACCUACACUUUCUCUUUCCAAUUUUUAUUUCUCUUUGCCAUUGCCAUCUGCAUCUCCAUCCCCACAAUCUCAUUUCAACUUUUUCUUAUCUUCCUUACCCUUUUCCUUUUUCCAACCUCUUCUACUCUUUCCAUUGAAGUAUAAAAUGUUGGCACGAUUUCUGGUUGUUCACAAUCUCGUUGGAGUUCGGAGUUGAUUUUGGGUUAUGUUGGAUUGGGGUUUUGAUGGUGACCGGUGGCGCUAAGGAAAAGUGGGGGUCUAUUGGGUGGUCUGAUUGUUUCUAGUUGUUCACAACUAGCGGCGUUGUGAAAGUUGAGAC
rnacentral:lncRNA from 1 species